GGUGUAAAAAAAUCAUAUAAGUAUAUGAAAAAUGGACGAGAAGUUAAUUGAACUUGUAAGAAAUCAUGAAGUGCUAUACAAUCACUCAUCAGCCGAGUACAGGGACUAGACGAUUCGGCAAGAAGCUUGGAAAGAAAUUGCGGACAACGUCAAGACAAAAUGAGACAAACUUAGACGAUGUUUCUGUAAUGCAAGAAAUAGACGCCUGUCUACACAAAGUGGCCAGGCUACCAAAAAAAUUACGCCAUAGAAAUUUAAACAGCAGAUGACAUUUUUGCUGCCGUAUUUAGAAGGUCGAAGAAGUCUCAAAAUGAACAUAAAAUUUGCAUUCCCGACGAAAGAGAAAUUAAUGACGAUGACGUUGACGCAGAUGAACAGCAAAUACAAGAACGCAGUACAGACGCUGAAGAUAAAGCUGAUGAAGGGAACCAAAAACAUAUUGCAGUUAUACAACAACAAACACCUUCGGAAGACGAUAUAUUACUCGCCGAAAAUACUAAAACAUUAGAGCACAUGAAGAGAAACAAAACGUGUUCACAAAAAAAAAUACUGCAGCCGAGAAAAUGGCGGCAAUAAUGGAACAAAAUGCUGCUCUCAGAAAAAAAAUCGAAGAGAAAUUAACAGCGCAAAAUGAACAUACAUGUUUUGAAGAUAUGGACGAAACUGAUAUAUUUUUUUAUUAUUAUUUUUAAGUUUGGCGAGAAUGACGGAACAAUUAACAAAAGCCGAACAAGCUGCACUUAAAGUAACAGUGAGCACUGCAAUCCUUCAAGCUGAAUUGAGAAGCGCACAAGCACAAAGUGCUCCAAUACCUGCACCAUCUUUGUCAUAUGCUUUGCAACCAUUGUUUUCACAUUUCAUCGUCAUAUUCUGUGCAACCCUUGCCGUCACCUCAUGAAUAUUCUAGACCAUCAUCAGAAUCCUCUAACAUGCAAUCGGCUCUCCCGCCGCAGGAGUAUGAUAAAGCUGGACAUGGGCAAUUUACAAAUGUUUCACAAACAAGCAACUACCCUACAGCAGAGGCAACUCGCGAGGAAUGGAGACCGACGUUAUUAGAUAUGAACUCUGU